rnacentral:rRNA from 1 species
AUUGAACGCUGGCGGAAUGCUUUACACAUGCAAGUCGAACGGCAGCACAGGGGCAGCCCUGGUGGCGAGUGGCGAACGGGUGAGUAAUACAUCGGAACGUGCCCGGUCGUGGGGGAUAACGUAGCGAAAGUUACGCUAAUACCGCAUACGAUCUGAGGAUGAAAGCGGGGGACCUUCGGGCCUCGCGCGAUCGGAGCGGCCGAUGUCAGAUUAGGUAGUUGGUGGGGUAAAGGCCUACCAAGCCGACGAUCUGUAGCUGGUCUGAGAGGACGACCAGCCACACUGGGACUGAGACACGGCCCAGACUCCUACGGGAGGCAGCAGUGGGGAAUUUUGGACAAUGGGCGCAAGCCUGAUCCAGCCAUUCCGCGUGCAGGACGAAGGCCUUCGGGUUGUAAACUGCUUUUGUACGGAACGAAAAGGCUCUGGCUAAUACCUGGGGCUCAUGACGGUACCGUAAGAAUAAGCACCGGCUAACUACGUG